GCCCCUCCCCAGGCCUGCAGAGGGCGCUGCGCUUCCGUGAGCCGGGGCGUGGCGCCGCUCUAGCCAGCGCCCGGGCUCGGUGGCGGACGCCGCAGCUCCGCGUCCCCCGCGCCUCCUCCCCGUGCAGACUUCACAGGCUGCCACUGGACCGUUCCCCUGCCCUGAACCCUGAGCCGGCACGAUGCACGGGCGCCUGAAGGUGAAGACAUCAGAAGAGCAGGCGGAGGCCAAAAGGCUAGAGCGGGAGCAAAAGCUGAAGCUAUACCAGUCAGCCACCCAGGCCGUCUUCCAGAAGCGCCAGGCUGGUGAGCUAGAUGAGUCAGUGCUUGAACUGACAAGCCAGAUUCUGGGAGCCAACCCUGAUUUUGCCACCCUCUGGAACUGCCGACGAGAGGUGCUCCAAGAGCUGGAGGCCCAGAAGUCCCCCGAGGAAUUGGACGCUCUGGUGAAAGCUGAACUGAGCUUCCUGGAGAGCUGCCUGCGGGUGAACCCUAAGUCCUAUGGUACCUGGCACCACCGCUGCUGGCUGCUGGGCCGCCUGCCUGAGCCCAACUGGGCCCGGGAGCUGGAGCUGUGUGCCCGCUUCCUGGAGGUCGAUGAGCGGAACUUUCACUGCUGGGACUAUCGGCGAUUUGUGGCCGCACAGGCAGCCGUGCCCCCUGCAGAAGAGCUAGCAUUCACUGACAGCCUCAUCACCCGAAACUUCUCCAACUACUCCUCCUGGCAUUACCGCUCCUGCCUCUUGCCCCAGCUACACCCUCAGCCAGACUCUGGACCACAGGGGCGCCUCCCUGAGGAUGUGCUCCUCAAAGAGCUGGAGCUGGUGCAGAAUGCCUUCUUCACUGACCCCAAUGAUCAGAGUGCCUGGUUCUAUCACCGCUGGCUUCUGGGCCGAGCUGACCCCCAGGAUGCGCUGCACUGCCUGCAUGUGAGCCGGGACGAGGCCUGUCUGACUGUCUCCUUCUCUCGGCCCCUUCUAGUGGGCUCCAGGACGGAGACCUUGCUACUCUUGGUUGAUGAGUCACCUCUGAUCGUGGAGUGGAGGACCCCAGGUGGCAGGAGCCGGCCCAGCCAUGUCUGGCUCUGUGACCUGCCUGCCGCCUCCCUCAAUGACCAGUUGCCCCAACAUACAUUUCGUGUCAUUUGGACAGCAGGCGAUGCCCAGAAAGAGUGUGUUCUUUUUAAAGGCCGCCAGGAAGGCUGGUGCCGUGACUCCACCACGGAUGAACAGCUGUUCAGGUGUGAGCUGUCGGUGGAGAAGUCCACAGUGCUACAGUCUGAGCUUGAGUCCUGUAAGGAGCUGCAGGAACUGGAGCCUGAAAAUAAAUGGUGCCUGCUCACCAUCAUCCUGCUGAUGCGGGCGCUGGACCCCCUGCUGUAUGAGAAGGAGACGCUGCAAUACUUCCAGACCCUCAAGGCUGUAGACCCCAUGCGGGCAGCCUACCUGGACGACCUGCGCAGCAAGUUCCUGCUGGAGAACAGUGUGCUCAAGAUGGAGUAUGCCGAGGUGCGCGUGCUGCACCUGGCUCACAAGGAUCUGACAGUGCUUUGCCACCUGGAACAGCUGCUCUUGGUCACUCAUCUUGACCUGUCAUACAAUCGUCUUCGAGCCCUGCCACCUGCCUUGUCCGCCCUGCGCUGCCUUGAGUCCCAGGCUGAUAGCCACCUGCCUCCCAGGUGCUGCAGGCCAACGAUAAUGCCAUAGAGUCCCUGGACGGCGUCACCAACCUGCCCCGGCUGCAGGAGCUGCUACUGUGCAACAACCGCCUUCAGCAGCCUGCAGCACUCCAGCCUCUUGCCUCCUGCCCCAGACUAAUCCUCCUUGACCUGCAGGGCAACCCACUGUGCCAAGCAGUGGGCAUCUCGGAGCAUCUGGCCGAACUGCUGCCCUCAGUUAGCAGCAUCCUCACCUAAGAGGCCCUGCCUCCCACCCUUGCCCUUUAACUUAUUGGGACUGAAUAAAGGAUGGAGAGGCCCUCUCAGGCCACCAA